CCUACGGGAGGCAGCAGUGAGGAAUAUUGGUCAAUGGCCGGAAGGCUGAACCAGCCAAGCCGCGUGAAGGACGAAGGUGCCAAGCAUUGUAAACUUCUUUUGUCAAGGGACAAAAUCAGGCUCGAAAGCCUUACCGAGUGUACUUGAAGAAAAAGCAUCGGCUAACUCCGUGCCAGCAGCCGCGGUAAUACGGAGGAUGCGAGCGUUAUCCGGAUUUAUUGGGUUUAAAGGGUGCGUAGGCGGACCGUUAAGUCAGCGGUAAAAGCCCGGGGCUCAACCCCGACGAGCAGUUGAAACUGGCUGUCUUGAGAUGUCGAGAGGUAGGCGGAAUGCGCGGUGUAGCGGUGAAAUGCUUAGAUAUUGCGCAGAACUCCGAUUGCGAAGGCAGCAUACCGGCGUCGAUCUGACGCUGAGGCACGAAAGCGUGGGUAUCGAACAGGAUUAGAUACCCUUGUAGUC
rnacentral:rRNA from 1 species